AUUGAACGCUGGCGGCAGGCCUAACACAUGCAAGUCGAGCGGAUGAAGGGAGCUUGCUCCUGGAUUCAGCGGCGGACGGGUGAGUAAUGCCUAGGAAUAUGCCUGGUAGUGGGGGAUAACGUCCGGAAACGGGCGCUAAUACCGCAUACGACCUGAGGGAGAAAGAGGGGGAUCUUCGGACCUCACGCUAUCAGAUGAGCCUAGGUCGGAGUAGCUAGUUGGUGGGGUAAAGGCCUACCUAGGCGACGAUCCGUAACUGGUCUGAGAGGAUGAUCAGUCACACUAGAACUGGGACACGGUCCAGAGUCCUACGGGAGGCAGCAGUGGGGAAUAUUGGACAAAGGGCGAAAGCCUGAUCCAGCCAUGCCGCGUGUGUGAAGAAGGCCUUCGGAUUGUAAAGCACGUUUAGUUGGGAGGAAGGGCAGUAAGUUAAUACCUUGCUGUUUUGACGGUACCAACAGAAUAAGCACCGGCUAACUUCGUG
rnacentral:rRNA from 1 species